rnacentral:rRNA from 1 species
UACGUAGGGGGCAAGCGUUGUCCGGAUUUAUUGGGCGUAAAGAGCGUGUAGGCGGCCAGGUAGGUCGGCUGUGAAAACUCGAGGCUCAACCUCGAGCUGUCGGCCGAAACCAUCUGGCUAGAGUCCGGAAGAGGAGAAUGGAAUUCCCGGUGUAGCGGUGAAAUGCGCAGAUAUCGGGAGGAACCCCAAUGGCGAAGGCAGGUCUCUGGGCAUUAACUGACGCUGAGGAGCGAAAGCAUGGGGAGCGAACAGG